UUGUUCUUCAGACAUUGUACUAGAUUUGAUAAUUAAGAAAGUAAACAGAAAUUCUUGUCUCUUGUGGGUGCUAUUAAACGUAACCUUAAAACAUGGAUGAUAUUGGCCUGGAUUGGCAAAAGUUGAAACAUAAUUCAGAAAAGAUUGGUCUUAGAGAUGGUAUAGAAGAAGGAAGAUCAUCAAAUUUUCAAAAAAGUUUUGAUGAGGGCUAUAAAAUGGAUUUAAAAAUGGGUUUGAGCUAGGAAAACUCAAAGGACAAUUGGAAUCACCACCUGAACUAGAAAACACAAAAAGGGGUAAUUGUAUUUUGUGUAAAGAUGAAUCUAUAAUCAAAAAAUCAAACCAAGAGAAAGAAAUUCUUCAAUGGAGGGCAACAGAAAGUCUAAUAGCAUCAAUAUCACCAGAAAACUAAAAUUUUUCUUAAAAUAACUGUGAAUAAAUGUAUAGUUAUGUUAA